rnacentral:rRNA from 1 species
UACGUAGGUGGCAAGCGUUGUCCGGAUUUAUUGGGCGUAAAGCGCGCGCAGGCGGUCUCUUAAGUCUGAUGUGAAAUCUCGGGGCUCAACCCCGAGCGGUCAUUGGAAACUGGGAGACUUGAGUGCAGAAGAGAAGAGCGGAAUUCCACGUGUAGCGGUGAAAUGCGUAGAGAUGUGGAGGAACACCAGUGGCGAAGGCGGCUCUUUGGUCUGUAACUGACGCUGAGGCGCGAAAGCGUGGGGAGCAAACAGG